AUGAAUUUUAUUUCUGUCUUCAGCUGCGAGCAUGACGAAGUGGUCAGUGCAGUGGAUUGUAUCCUGUCCCUGGUUGGUGAUAAGAAUCCAGAGCACUACUUUGUCGCCACUCAGGAUUCUGGUCUCUGGACAAAGCUACGAGAGGUUCCUUGUGUUCCUGUGAUAUACGGUCUGAAGAACUCCCUGUUUAUUGAGCAACCAUCUGUGCAGCAACGUAAGUUUGCUCAGUUGGACGAGGAGAAGCGUACCCAUAUGGAAAAAUCAGAAUAUAAGAAGCUGCUGAAGGCUUCAUCAGAAGGAAAGGCAUCUGUCAAUGGAAACUUACCUGGAGUGGUAGAGAAGGCAAGUUUAAAAUGA
rnacentral:rRNA from 1 species